rnacentral:lncRNA from 1 species
CUCUCUUCACUUCUCUUUCUCUGGUUCUGCAAAAUAACAUUCAGCUACUUAGACAUAAGUCACCAAAGAAAAGCUUGAAACGUUGGUUUCAGACAGAAGCAGUACACCAGGCAUGUCCGAUUUUCUCAUCUCUUUCUUAUCUUUGUGUUUGUUUCAGAAUUAGCUCUCUUGUUUCACAAUCUUUUGAUAGAUAAUGUUUCGUAACUAGAAGCUGUCUUCAUGAAUGUUUUUGAUACUUGAAAGAUUCAUGAAACCUAGAGUUAAUGUUUAUAUAAAAACCCCCAAGCUUUCUAAUGCAUUGAACUUUUUUCUAGUAUUAGAGAUAAUUAUCAUAGCCUAGUGAUUUGGCAUAGUUGUAUAGGACUCUUGUAAUUCUUAUUUAUAUGCAGAAACUUUGAGAAACAGGUGUGUUCUCAUAUAGGUACACAAAAACACGUAUGCCUCAACUGAGAUUUUGAUGUUUUAUCUUUUACAUAUUACAUUCGUGGAAUAAUGUUUGUCAUGGAGUGACGUUGUAAUGAUUCUCUACAGGUGCGUAUAUAUGAACAGGUUUGUAUUAUCUCUUCCAUGUAAAAGCAGUGUCUUCUUCUCUUAGCCUCUGUUUGCAGCAAGAAUAUCUUUAAGCUUUCAUGUUUUCAUCAGCUUGUUCAUUGAAGAACUGCCUCAUUGCUUGUAUGAAAAUCUGUGUUGAAAGACGUCAAAUUAUUAUUAUAAGUCUAGUUGCUUAUGUUCUAUCUUUGACAUAAUUAAGCAGUGAGGAGCUUACUUGGUCGACAAAUUGAAGAGAAGGGUUUUUGUUAUGUGAGAGAAGGUCCAACUUUGACAGGUUUUACGAUCCUGAAAGCUUUUCUUGCAUACUCAAAUGCCAAAACCAGAAGUCCGAAGAGGAAAAGUAGACAGCGAUUGAACUUUUCCAGUAUGAAAUAUCCAGGAGAGACGGCAUUCUUGCUUUCUGAUGAGCUUCUAAUCAAUGUUAGUCGCCUCUUGAAGUAACCUGAGAAAACGAAACAGAGCAAGCAUAUAAUGGUAUAUUGAUCUUAUUCUCAGAACAACACCUUAAAAGAAAAAGAAUGGUCUAAAGCAAUGGGAAUGUGUAUUUCUUCUGUACCUGGGUUUUCCAUGGUGAGGUUAGUCCAAUCAGUUGGUUUUUUCUUCAUUUCUGCUGCCUUGAUUAACUCGAGAAGAGAUUUAUUAACCUGAAAUUGACCAGAAGGUACAUGUUAAUCUUUUCUUCCAGGUUCUGAGGCAACUGACAAGAGCAUGGAAACUUUGUUCCCUCUUCCAUUUUGUAGCAAUGAUAUUCCUAGAAGACCUCAGAGCCUGUAAGUCAUUAUAGUUUGCUAUCGUAACUAACACCGAGGUUUAAGUAACAGUAUGACUGCUUACACUUUUCGAUCAGUUACUAAAGCAGUCUAAAUUCUUCCAACAGGCUCCUUAAACUUUUCUUUAUAUAUGUUUAAUUCAGUUAACCAAAUCCAUAGCCAACUUGUUCUUAUAUUCAGGAUAGUAUGAUUUUCAUUUCAGUCUUAUAUCUUUCUGUUAAGUUACAAUAAUCUGUGUAUGACAUCCUCUAACAUUUACUGCAGACUGGAGCAUCUUAGGGAGCUACAAAGACUUUAUAGAUUAAGUCUUAUAUACAUCAGAAGCAAGAGAGAUAGAGAAGUUACGACAUGAAUGAAUAAGAAAUGAGUACCUCUUCUGUUCUCUCGUGGCU